AGUGAACAUGGAGAAAUGCAUCACAGGUGACCCCAGGAGACCACAAUGCAUUGCAGCUGCACGAAAUGAUGAAUUUGGACAAAGAGACCCGUCCUCAUAGACAUGCACUAGUGUUCACAAUAAGGUCCAGUUACGAUGCAUCACCUGCUGCCAACACACUGACUUUUGUAAGCAGCAUUUUUGUGAAAUGCAACAAAAAGUCUACAAAUUUUAAUAUUUGCUUUUAAGACUUGUAACUUGCUG